rnacentral:rRNA from 1 species
GUGGGGAAUAUUGGACAAUGGGCGAAAGCCUGAUCCAGCCAUGCCGCGUGUGUGAAGAAGGUCUUCGGAUUGUAAAGCACUUUAAGUUGGGAGGAAGGGCAGUAAAUUAAUACUUUGCUGUUUUGACGUUACCGACAGAAUAAGCACCGGCUAACUCUGUGCCAGCAGCCGCGGUAAUACAGAGGGUGCAAGCGUUAAUCGGAAUUACUGGGCGUAAAGCGCGCGUAGGUGGUUCGUUAAGUUGGAUGUGAAAUCCCCGGGCUCAACCUGGGAACUGCAUUCAAAACUGACGAGCUAGAGUAUGGUAGAGGGUGGUGGAAUUUCCCUGUGUAGCGGUGAAAUGCGUAGAUAUAGGAAGGAACACCAGUGGCGAAGGCGACCACCUGGACUGAUACUGACACUGAGGUGCG